rnacentral:rRNA from 1 species
ACUCCUACGGGAGGCAGCAGUAGGGAAGUCUUCCGACAAUGGGCGCAAGCCUGAUGGAGCAACACCGCGUGAGUGAAGAAGGGUUUCGGCUCGUAAAGCUCUGUUGUUAAAGAAGAACACGUAUGAGAGUAACUGUUCAUACGUUGACGGUAUUUAACCUAGAAAGUCACGGCUAACUACGUGCCAGCAGCCGCGGUAAUACGUAGGUGGCAAGCGUUAUCCGGAUUUAUUUGGGCGUAAAGAGAGUGCAGGCGGUUUUCUUAAGUCUGAUGUGAAAGCCUUCGGCUUAACCGGAGAAGUGCAUCGGAAACUGGAUAACUUGAGUGCAGAAGAGGGUAGUGGAACUCCAUGUGUAGCGGUGGAAUGCGUAGAUAUAUGGAAGAACACCAGUGGCGAAGGCGGCUACCUGGUCUGCAACUGACGCUGAGACUCGAAAGCAUGGGUAGCGAACAGGAUUAGAUACCCUGGUAGGAAACCG